AGUUUGAUCCUGGCUCAGGAUGAACGCUAGCUACAGGCUUAACACAUGCAAGUCGAGGGGCAGCAUGGAGUCUGCUUGCAGACUCUGAUGGCGACCGGCGCACGGGUGAGUAACGCGUAUCCAACCUGCCCAUUACUCGGGCAUAGCCCAGUGAAAACUGGAUUAACUCCCGAUGCUGUUCUGAUUGGGCAUCUUAUCAGGACAAAAGUUUACGGUAAUGGAUGGGGAUGCGUCUGAUUAGGUAGUAGGCGGGGUAACGGCCCACCUAGCCGACGAUCAGUAGGGGUUCUGAGAGGAAGGUCCCCCACACUGGAACUGAGACACGGUCCAGACUCCUACGGGAGGCAGCAGUGAGGAAUAUUGGUCAAUGGGCGAGAGCCUGAACCAGCCAAGUAGCGUGCAGGAUGACGGCCCUAUGGGUUGUAAACUGCUUUUAUGCGGGAAUAAGAUCAGAUACGUGUAUCUGCGUGCAUGUACCGCAUGAAUAAGGACCGGCUAAUUCCGUGCCAGCAGCCGCGGUAAUACGGAAGGUCCGGGCGUUAUCCGGAUUUAUUGGGUUUAAAGGGAGCGUAGGCGGCCUUUUAAGCGUGCUGUGAAAUGUACCGGCUCAACCGGUGAAUUGCAGCGCGGACUGGAGGGCUUGAGUUCACGGAAGGCAGGCGGAAUUCGUGGUGUAGCGGUGAAAUGCUUAGAUAUCACGAAGAACUCCGAUUGCGAAGGCAGCUUGCCGCAGUGUUACUGACGCUGAAGCUCGAAGGUGCGGGUAUCGAACAGGAUUAGAUACCCUGGUAGUCCGCACGGUAAACGAUGGAUACGCGCUGUUCGCCAUUUAUGGUGAGCGGCCAAGCGAAAGCGUAAGCAUCCCACCUGG
rnacentral:rRNA from 1 species